rnacentral:tRNA from 1 species
GUAGCUCAGUGGCAGAGCGCUUGCCUGGCAUGCAUGUGGCCCUGGGUUCCAUCCCCAGC